CUCCCCAUGACAUCUGCUGUCCCUUCUUGGACAUUCUAUUGUCUCCUAGAGAGUUCUGGCAUCCUCUGUGAUGUCACCAGUGUUGUAGUGACAACCAGUGCCCUAGUUUCUCUCAGUCUGAGUCUGGCGGUUACAAGCUAAGACAUGUUUUCCCGUCUUCGCAAGCGUUUUGGGAGGGGGAACGUCGAUUCUGGAGAGACUAGAGUGAAGGAGUCUGGCCUUUCGUCUCAAAGUAAUGAUGGACAAAGACAGCACUUCCGGGGAAUGUAGAACUCUGGGAGAGAAACAUCAUCCCCUGGCACUGAACUAAGCAAGAAUCAGGAAAAGGAGAGGCUGAUUAAAGAGCUGCAGCUCAUUACCUAGGAGAGAAAUGACCUGAGAGAUCGCCUGAGGUUUCUGACAGAGAGAUCCAUGAAGAAAAGGCCACACUUCAGGCCAAAUCCAUAUUAUGAAGACCUGGAGAGAAUGGAGGAGGCGGUCAUGUCAAUUCUGCACAACUUAGAGAUGGAGAACACUGAGGUCCAUGAGAACAGCCAUAAGCUGAAGAAGGAGAUUACCUUCUCUAGGUAAGUCCUGGUCAGAAAGCCUAUCACCUGUGGAAUGGCCAUUUCUGACUUUCUUUGUUCUGGAUUGGACGGUCUUCAGCUCUGGUUCUAUCUCUUGUGCUAU